rnacentral:lncRNA from 1 species
CUCACCACACGUAUGUAUGAAUGCCUCUGAGGCAUUGAAUCUUCUACAAAUUUUACAAUACAGUGAGCUUCAACAUUUUUGAUGUUCCCUCUUCAUCCUCAGUACCACCUUAAUUCCUGUGAAACCAUGUACCCCAUGUAUUUUGUACCUGCUGGGGCCUAUGUCUUUAUGUUCCUUGGCUUUUUGCCCAUGUGUGCCUACACUUAGUCAUGCCAAUGAGCUUUUGCUGGAUACUUAAUGAACUUUGUCUGUGUCCUCUACAUCACAGGAUUUGCACAAUCAAAUUUCCCAACCCCCCUAUUCCCCAUGUUCUUAUUUAGUACCACUUCAAUCUAAUACCAGUUUACCGUUACUGCACAAAACAGACCUGCAUUCAUACCACACCUGUAUGAUAAAUCUCACAGCAUUUGUUAAGGGACAUAUUGUAAAUAGUGUCCUUGCAGGGUUGGAGGGAUUUAUAAUAAUUGAAAGGGUUUUUGUACUGUGUUCACCCAUCAUACUUGCUGCAGAAUUAAUGUUAGCAGCCCUGGCACAUCUUAGAGUUACAGAUAUGUUGGCUCAAGCAGGUCAAACCAUCUUAUCCUGUUGCUGUCAUUGGUGAGUGAGAAUUUUUCUACAUUUUUUAUGGAUAUUGUUUUGUUUCUCCCUCCUGUCAGUAAGAGGUAAAUAUUGGUAGAGCAUAUUUAUUCACAAAAUUAUGAUAUGAAUUGACAUCCAAUUAUGCAAAUGAGUCCAAUUAAUUAACCCAUAUUUGUGCAGAUGAAUUCAGUGACUUUCAAAGUGAACAACUAGCAUCACCUAAAUUUCUCUAAACAACAAAUUCUAUGAAAUAUAUGAAUUCAGAUGACUGAAGAAAUUCUAGUAUUUCAACUUUCAAAUGCCACACAUGGGCCAGUUUGCGUGAAUGUCUCCUGUUAUAAAUAUCAUUCACUAACCUUGCUUCCUUGAAACAAAUUUACUUAGGUAUUAAUUAACUCACAUUUUUAUCUUCUUAAAUCAGUGAAUAUUUGCUUCUGCCAUACAAUCUUUCAUCAUACAUUUGUGUUUUAUGUUCCAAAGCUGAGGAUAUAACUUGAGAAUGUGGCACAAUUACUGUGAUAGCACUUGUUUUCCUAACACACAAACAAAUGAGUCAGGGAACCAGUCCUGCCUCAUUGCACAUAACUCACCAUGGGACAUGUGCCUCAGAGCUAUAGUUCCAACUCAAUGCAUUUGCAGUUAUUAAAAUAUUUAAAUGUUCCUUUAUAUAAUUGACAUUGCAUAUUGUAUUAGUCAGGGUUCUCUAGAAGAACAGAAUCAACAGGAAGUACAAUUAUAAAAGGAUAAUUUAUAAGAUUGGCUUAUAUUACUGGAAGGUGGAUAGUCAACAAUGGCCAUCUGCAGGUCAGACAGCUGGAAGGAAGAAUCAGUAGAUGCAAAGUCCAAGAGGUUGAAGCCUGGGCCUGAACAAGAGAGAUUAGCAGUGCUACUCUAGUUUGAAACCAAAGGUUUCUGGAGAAUCACCUUUGGAAGAGUAAAAAAGCAAGAGUCUGAUAUCCUCAGAUGAUGGUAGCAGCAAUCAAGAACCCAUUCAAGAAAAAGUCAACCAUGCAUCUGCUGCUGCUUCCUUGUUCUUCCAACUUUUAUUCCAUCCAAGUCAUCAUCAUAUUUGGUGCAGCCCAUUCUUAGGGAGGGUCUCCAUUUCAGUUGGCUAUCCCACAUGCCAACCAUUUCUAGACACAUAGACAUACCCAUAAUCCUCUUAAUCCUAGGUAUCUCUUAAUCUGAUGAAGCUGACAAUUCAAAUUAACCAUUACACAUGUAGAAUAAAUAUUUAUAAUCAAUGGGAAACUUUUUUUCCAAUAAGAAAUUCCAAAAUACUACUAGUUUAGAAGAUAGGAGGAAUAUAGAAAAACAAAUAGAAAAAAAAAACAGAACUUGAUUAAUAGAAGAACUCCACUUACUAGCUUUAGGGAAACAUGGUGGUUCAUGGCACCCUCUCUUUAAACACUGACAAUUUCAAAACCCCUCUCUGCACCUAAUCAGAGUAAGACUUUGAGACUUAACCUCUGUGUACCCAAAUUCUCCUUGUAAUCAUGAAAGUAAUCUCAGCCCCUGCUUCAUGUUGAGAAGAUUAAAAAAUCACCAUGUGCUGCAUUUAGAGCAGGGAUUUUUACACAUUUUGUGGUUUAAUUCUUAAUUAAAGCAUCAUGAAACCUGCUAGUGAGAAUGAAACCUUAAGUUCAAUUUUGCAAUUCCCACUUGAGAGAGGGCAAUGUUGGAUUUUGGUUGACAGGACACAGAUAGCCCAGAACUCCCAUUCCCCUGCAGGACCCUCUGGGAACUGGCAGGAUGGCAGCCGGUGAUGAGGCUGUAGGAAUCAUCUUCCUGUCACAGACUGUGGUUGGAGUUCUGGGCAAUUUCUGUCUUAUCUAUUACCUGUUAUUUUCUUCACUGGGUACAGGUUAGGGCCUACAAAUUUGAUUCUUAAGCACUUGAUGUGGUCAAUUUGUUAAAUCUCCUGCAUAAAGAAAGUCCCCAGACAGGGGCACUUUUCAGUUUGGAAGUUUUCCUUGGUGAUUUUGGAUGUAAGCUGCUUUUCAAUGUUAACAGGAUGGGCAGUGAUGAGUCCAUUGUUACCAUAUGCCUUCUAAGUGUCUUCCAGGCUACCAUCUUCAGCCCAGUGAAUUCAGAUGGGCAGAGCUUUAAAGUAAAAACUCCCAGUACAUUGGUACCUCCUUAUACCUGAGCUGGAUCCUGUAACUCCUUGUAAGUAUGCCUUUCUUACUUGCAUGACUGGGAAAGGGAGCUCCAAAAAUGUCAAGAUCUUGGUAGAUUUUCUGGUGCUCUAAUGACAAAGCCCUAGAAUCAUUGCUUGCAGCAAUCCUGUCACUCCCUGAUGCUGUGUGUGUGUGUGUGUGUGUGUGUGUGUGUGUGGAAGCGGGGGUGCUCAUGCUCUAGGCCAGCAGCUCCAUGGUGCUCAUUCUGCACAGGCAUUACCAGAGAAUGCAGCAUGUUUGCCCAGGUCCUCCCCUGAGUACAACAAAACAAUUCUUGUCCUAGUGAGCUCUUUUGUAUUUUUAUACACUUUCCAGUAUCUUAAAUAAUCCCAAAUUGUUCCUGAUAAUUUUGGCUGCAAUAAUCUCUGGGUGCUUCCCAGCUUUCAACCCCUUUUUGCUAAUAAUCAAAGACACCAGCACAUUCAGGCUAGUUUGCAUGUAUAAAAAAAAUCUUAAAUUUCUAAUUUAUGAGGAAAAUGUAAAAUAUGUACUCUAUAAGGUUUUGUACAAUUUGUCAUGUCAUUUGUGAGUGGUGGUUUAGACACAUACCCUCGUAUGUUAUAAAUGUGUGUGUAUGGUUUUAUAUGUGUUUGUGAACAUGAACAUGCACACAUGCAUAUAUCUUGAUUGUUAUGAUCUGUCAAUAAUAAUUCUGAAAAAUUAUAUGUAAAUUUUAUACUUAAUUAAAACUAUUUCAAACUGAUUUCACAUAAUUUCAUAUUUUCUUGUUUUUCUGAUAGAUUAGUCAUGUUAAAAAUGUGGAAAGAAUUUUUCAUUUGUCUACUUUCAUGUUUAUGUCUUAGCUCUGUGUCUUUGAAGAAUUUUCCAAGUUAAUGUACUCCAAUGAUAUUUGCCUUUAGCAGGUAAAUUUAGUUAUUUUUAAUACAGUAUAAGGAAAGUAAAAAGAGAAACAGAGACAAGAUGCAGCAGAAAGGUAGUUGCUCGUCCAAGCAGCUGCAUUUAUUUAUACCAAUAGGUUACAUUAGGUCAUUACUGCCAUAACUACAUUAUAGUUUAUGGUAUCAGUAAAGUGGCUUAUUCUGCAGUUAUAUUCUACAGUUACAAUAUGCAAUGUUAGGAGCUUUGUGCAGCUCUCAAGAAAGUCCAUUGUCUGAAGUUACUGUUAGAUGGGAAGAUCCAGGAUCAGCAGAGCUCAGUGAAACAUUGUGGUUAUCUAGCAAGCAAGUUCCUUUAUUCACAGGAGCUAUGUGCCUGAGAUCAAAGUCAAGGCUGAUAAGACUAUAGAACAGAGCAGGGCAUUGCCAUUACAGCUAGAUGGUUCACAUGUAUUCGUUAUCUUACUAGUUCCUAGUAAAAAAAACUGCAGGACAUUCUAAGGGUAGUAAAAUAGUGUUUGUUACUCCCGAGGAGUUUGCUCACCAGAGGAAUGUUCCUCUAUAAUAUUUCCAAGAUCAGAAUCCCUACAAUAUAGAAAUGGACAGAAUGGGAAGCAAUUGUCCACUAAAAACCCCUGCUCUGUUUCAUAUAUUUCAUGUCCACCUUGAUAAUAUACAUUAGGUGUAACUUUUUAUUGUUACAAAUGAUUUUUAAAUCACCAAUAAACCAUCAAAGCAGCUUUAUGUACAAAUCAGUCAUAAAUUACUAAGUAAAAUUUUAUAAAGUAUAUACACUUUUGCCUUCAGCUUCUUCUACAUCAAAAUACAAUCUUGUCCAUCUCAAAGAUUCCUCUUUGUGCCUCUACCAUAAUCAUAUUCAACAGGGACCAGUAUGUGACAUUAAAUACCAUAGAUCACUUUCAUUUUUUGUACUUUCUAUAAAUGAAAAUGAUCAGCUUCAACUCUUUUAUAUUUGACUUAGAAAAUUGUAUUUUAAUUGUAGUUUGUAUUUUCAUAUUUGGUUGGUAAUAGAAUUCAACUGCAGGAAUAUUAAUUACUUCAUGCCUUCCUCUCUGGACACAUAAGUCCUCCCCCCUCAAAAAAAAAAUGUUCCAUGUGCUGGAAGCUUUGCACCCAGUGUGAAGGUUUUGGAGGAGGUGGAAAAUUUGAUGUGUGGAUGUAAGUACAAGGUGGCUGGGUCAUUGAGAGGUCAUGCUUAAAGGGAUAAAUGGUAAUGUCUGGAGUAUAUCAGUUCCCAUGAAAUUGGGCUGUCUUACAGAGUGUUCUGGUGUCUCUGCUCUCUCGCUCCCUGUCCUGUCCUGUGGUCUAUUCUGUAUGUGCUCCCACUAUUGUGAUUUCACCUACUCUUAAUUCCUCAAAGAGUUGAGCAGAUGCUGGCACCAUACUCUGGCAUCUCCAGAACUGUAGGCCACUAAAUUUCUUUGUCAAGUACUCAGUCUUGGGUAUUUGGUUAUUGCAACAGAAAAAGAUAACAUGACAUGGUCAUUUUUUAGUUUGAAGUAUCAUGAUGAGGACUCACCUAUAGUUUCACAGUGUGUUUUUAAUGAUAAUUGUAAGAGUUUCUGCUGUUAUGUGUGUAAAGGUGAUUGAUUCAUUGAUUAAAGGUUUACAUCUCCUUGGCUUUAGAAUAUACUGACUGAGUUUAUCAAAUGUUUGUAUGAGAUUCAACCAAGUAGAAGCUCUUAUUUUAAUAGAAAUACUUUUAUAUGUCUUUAUUUAAUGUUAAUAAC